AUAGUCAGGAUACACAUACCAGCAUAAGCACAUAGAGACUCACUUCUGGGCACGUGGACACUUGACCCAAGAGAAGUGAAUACAACUCCAAGCUCUUAAUGGCCUCUCCUGCUGAUGAUGCCAGAAAAUAAGACCAGGGAGGAAUGAACAAGAGCAAGCCCAGUGGGAGAGAUGACUGACCAGGAAUAUCGUGGGGAUAAAGGGGAGGCUCCCUCCUGCUAACACGGCUUCUCUGGUCAGUCCUUGGAGAUUCAUAGGACCAAAGGGUUUCAAGGGAGUGCUAAGAGACCUUAAGCAUCAGGAUCAAGUCUAGACCUCUCAUUGGACAGAGAAGAUGCUAGGUGACCAUUUUUCAGGAAUAUUAAGAAGGCUUCACUGUCAUAGUGGAAAGAGUGACUACUUCAAAUCCCAGCUUUGCUGAUCACUAGCUAUGAGAUCUCAGUAACAUCAACAUCAUCAUCAUCCUUCAAUGUUUCUUCAAUGGAUAUGAUCUGUUCCAUAGGAGGUCACUUUUUAAAAUGUUGCCAGUGAUCUCAUCCUUUAAAGCUUCAUCCUAGAAAUGGAGGAAUCCCCGAGUUGUCAAAAAUUGCUUGCCCAAGUUGAAAAGACUCCAAGUAUGGUGGUGGCAAGAGUAAAUACACACACACACACACACAUUUAUCCAUCCCUUUCUCCCUUCUUUCCUUAAUUUUUUUGAUUGUACAUUCUACCAUCUGUGAGUGUGUGUGAAAAGAGCAAAGGAGCUCCUCUUC